CUCUUUCUCUGUUCCUUUGGUCAAGAUAACUUAUAUCCAGCCAAGCGCUUGCCUUGACGUCCUCACAGCUGGAGAUCCAUGACUAAGAGCUCUCCUCAAUGUAUGCAGGUCUCCAUUCAAGCGGAUGAUGACAAAUGUAUGAUGGAUAGAGAGGAAUAAGUUUUCUAGAAAACGUCUUCGUAUUUUAGUGUAUGGUUUUUUAGAGAGGAGGCGCUUUCCCGGCUUUAGCGAAAUGAAGCCCUUAAAGCGUUUACAACCAGAGUAGCAAAACGAGAAUAAAAAAGGGGUUCGAUACAAGCCACACAGGGCUAACACACAAGGCCGAACGAAAACGAAAAACUGAGCAUAACGGAGGAUCAGUCUCCAGGCAUAUUUUUUAGUGAAAUAAGGUGGGUACAAGUAAUUCUAGAUCCAAAUUUAGAGCUCUUGCCAGUAAUCAGUAGCAAAAUUCAAGAUUGCCGAGAAGAGAGGUGAACCUAAAGGCUUUAGCACUAUUGUUAGGAUACUAUGUUGCUUCCAGGCUAUGGAUAAGAAUAGUUCAGUCGCUUGAGAGAUUGUUGAACAUAUGAAAUUGUUGGAAAUCUCUGGGCACCCUCAAGUUAAGCUGCUUGAAAACCAAGUUCAAAUAUGUGUGAGGGUAGUGCAGUUGGGCAUGCGAUUCUAUUGCACCUGAUGUAAUCGGACCAUUAGAUCAGUUUUGAAAUAGUGAUCUUCGAACAAUUUUUUUUGUACUUGUAGGGAUAGUUUUCAUUACUUGAGACAUUUCCCAGAACCAUUAGUAGUCUUGUACAUUGAAUCAAUUUAUUAUACGGCUUUGUUAUUCCUAGGGACAUGUUGAUUGUUUUUCCAUUACAUAGCAUUGUUUUACGGCCAUCG